rnacentral:rRNA from 1 species
UACGUAGGGGGCAAGCGUUGUCCGGAUUUAUUGGGCGUAAAGAGCUCGUAGGCGGCUUGGCAAGUCGGGUGUGAAACCUCCAGGCUCAACCUGGAGACGCCACCCGAUACUGCCAUGGCUAGAGUCCGGUAGGGGACCACGGAAUUCCUGGUGUAGCGGUGAAAUGCGCAGAUAUCAGGAGGAACACCGGUGGCGAAGGCGGUGGUCUGGGCCGGAACUGACGCUGAGGAGCGAAAGCGUGGGGAGCGAACAGG